AUUGAGUGGGAAUAAGAUAAUAAAAUAAUUUGGUGUGGGAAAGCCUAUUUAUAAGUGUUCUUUACAUUCAAUAAAAUGUAAAAACAACUUUAAAUUAAAUAGUUCCCCACCAAAUGCCCACCAACUUGUUU
rnacentral:sRNA from 1 species